rnacentral:rRNA from 1 species
CUGGCCCUAUUGCAGUCAGUGAUUCUGCGCYGGGRAUWKGCCRAUAGYUAKUWSCUGCGAGAUUAGGAGGAGUGUAGAUAACUACGKGAAAAUGUAGCUAAGGGAAGGSRGAAUAAGACGCAGGACUAUCAGUUAGUUGGUAGUGUAAUGGACUACCAAGACAGUGACGGUUGACGGGAAAUUAGGGUUUUGUACCGGAGAGGGAGCCUGAGAGAUUGCUCCCACGUCCAAGGACGGCAGCAGGCGCGAAAAUUGCCCACUCUUUGCAGGAGGCAGUUAUGAGACGUGAAGAUGAGUAUCUUGUAAAGAGGGAUAGGAGAAUUGGAGGGCAAGUUUGGUGCCAGCAGCCGCGGUAAUACCGACUCCAAGAGUGUGUAUGAGAGAUGCUGCAGUUAAAAAGUCCGUWKUYWUAGAAGGGCAAAGAGAGAUGCGAGGUCUCACAGUGCGAUGAUGGAGGAGCCGAUGGGGAACAUAGUAUACCAGGGCGAGAGAUGAAAUGCCAAGACCCCUGGUGGACUGAGCGAGGCGAAGGCGAUGUUCUUGUAGGCAUUCGGUGAUCAAGGACGAAGGCUGGAGUAUCGAAAGUGAUUAGAUACCGCAGUAGUUCCAGCAGUAAAAGAUGCCGACAUGCUCAUUGGACACAGUGGGCAGGGAGAAAUCUUAGAGUUCGGGCUCUGGGGAUAGUAUGCUCGCAAGGGUGAAAAUUAAAGAAAUUGACGGAGCUACACCACAAGGAGUGGAUUGUGCGGCUUAAUUUGACUCAACGCGAGGAAACUUACCAGGGCCAAGUAUUGUGUAGAAACGAGCAAUACAGGAGUGGUGCAUGGUCGUUGGAAAUUGAUGGGAUGACUUUGACCUUAAAUGGUUGAAUGAGUGAGAUCUUUUGGACAUGUUCCGCACGGAACAGGAAGGAAAAGGCUAUAACAGAUCCGAGAUGCCCUCAGAUGCCCUGGGCUGCACGCGCAAUACAAUAGCAGGUAGAGAGAGAGAMCAGGGAAGGUGCUCAGAUGGACUAUGUGCUGUAAGGGCACAUACGAAAGAGGAUC